UACGAGGGGGGCGAGCGUUGUUCGGAAUUACUGGGCGUAAAGGGUGCGUAGGCGGUUGUUUAAGUCUGUCGUGAAAUCCCCGGGCUCAACCUGGGAAUGGCGAUGGAUACUGGGCAGCUAGAGUGUGUCAGAGGAUGGUGGAAUUCCCGGUGUAGCGGUGAAAUGCGUAGAGAUCGGGAGGAACAUCAGUGGCGAAGGCGGCCAUCUGGGACAACACUGACGCUGAAGCACGAAAGCGUGGGGAGCAAACAGG
rnacentral:rRNA from 1 species